rnacentral:misc_RNA from 1 species
UCCGGAUUAGAUACCCUGGUAGUCCACGCCCUAAACGAUGUCGACUGGUUGUUGGGGGUUUGACACUCUCAGUAACGAAGCUAACGCGUGAAGUCGACCGCCUGGGGAGUACGGCCGCAAGGUUAAAACUCAAAGGAAUUGACGGGGACCCGCACAAGCGGUGGAUUAUGUGGAUUAAUUCGAUGCAACGCGAAAAACCUUACCUACCCUUGACAUGUCCUGGAGGCCCCUGAAAGGGGGCUGUGCCCGAAAGGGAACGGGAACACAGGUGCUGCAUGGCUGUCGUCAGCUCGUGUCGUGAGAUGUUGGGUUAAGUCCCGCAACGAGCGCAACCCUUGUCAUUAGUUGCUACAUUCAGUUGGGCACUCUAAUGAGACUGCCGGUGACAAACCGGAGGAAG